rnacentral:sRNA from 1 species
AGUGCGUCUGUGGAGGCGGUCCUGUGACGGAAAUGUGAAACUGGUCUCAAUCGGUUGACCACCGUAAGGAAAUGGGAUUUACACUGUGGACAGAGAUGUGUCCUUUUCACUUCAUUUGAACCAAUAUGCCCGUGCCCCCGUGGAGGCUGAGUUGGAAAGUGACACGAAGCUGCCCCCACAAGAGAGCAGGAAAACUUUAUUCUCAAGAGAUUUCUCAUUCCGCAGAAAUAAGGAUCUGGCAUGUCAACACAAACAUAGGAAGUUGAUGCAGUCAAAGGGAAAUAACUGCUGCCCUGACUCUGCUGAGAGCCUCACAAGUCCCUGUGCACGCCAGCUUAUUUGCCAAUCAGGCCAUGACCUUUCCCUACAGCAGGAUGUUUGCAAGAUUAACUCUCAACUGAGGAAUUUGCUUAUUUGACUGCUCUAAUACUGCUUGGUUGAGA